CGGCGAUAAAAACUGAAAGGCCGGUCUUACGACUGCCUCCCCCGACUCGUCCCGGGAUGGUAGUAGUGUGAUGUGAUAUCAUCUUGGGAAAGGUUUUACUCUGAGCCGC
rfam:Hordeum vulgare subsp. vulgare, WGS project CAJW01000000 data, contig: morex_contig_44782